GUUUUAUUAACUUAUUUACCUUAAAGAUAAGAUGAUCUGUGCGUGAGGAAGAGGAGGAGGAGGAAGAAAGAGGAUUUUAGCCUUUUCUAUU